UGGGGUGUGGCUCAAUGGUGGAGUGCUUGCCAGGCAUGUGUGAGGCCCUGGGUUCAAUUCUCAGCACUGCAU
rnacentral:tRNA from 1 species